AUGGCACUCACGCCUAGACUAAGAUGCUUGUGGAAAGACAGGACUGGCAUGACUUGCAGGGCGUUUGUAACAGGCUGCCUAAUAACUCCAUUGCAAACUAGGAGCUUCCCAGUACAUCUUCGCUGCGCGCUGCUCAUCGAUAACCACCGCCUUUCCACCAUGAAGCCUCUGCCCUGGCCCGUAGUGCUCCUCUUCCUUGGCCUUAACCAACAAAUAUUUGUUACUGGUACUGGUGACCAGUUCAUCUACUCUGGCUUCGCCGACACCAAUCUGGUUCUCGACGGCGCGGCCAUGGUCACGGCACAUGGCGUGCUGGACCUAACCAAUGGCUCUGCCAGGCUCAAAGGCCACGCGAUCCACCCAGCUCCAUUACGCUUCCACAAGUUCUCCAAUAGCAGCACUCUGCAAUCCUUCUCCGUUUCCUUUGUGUUUGGCAUCAUCUCCCCACACCCAAGCAAUGGCUUCACCUUCUUCAUCUCACCAAGCAAGAACUUCUCAGACGCCCUCCCGAUGCAGUACAUGGGCCUCCUUAGCGAUCAGAACAACGGCAUGGCAACGAAUCACAUCUUUGCGAUUGAGCUCGACACAAUCCAAAACAGUGAGUUCCAGGACAUGAACGACAACCACGUCGGCGUCGACAUCAACAGUCUUCACUCUGUUCAGUCAGACUCCGCUGGCUUCUAUGAUGAUAAGCAUGGUAUGUUUAACAACUUGACCCUUGUUAGUGGUGAUCCUAUGCAAGUUUGGGUGGACUACGACCAAGAGGCCACACAGAUCAAUGUGAUCAUGGCCCCGCUAAACCUUGCCAAACCAGCCAGGGCGCUAAUAUCGACCAAGCACGACCUAUCAACAGUCCUCACAGAAUCAGCAUAUGUUGGAUUCUCAUCAGCAGCAGGCAAGGCCAACGCGAGACAUUAUGUUCUCGGGUGGAGCUUUGCCGUGGAUAGUCCGGCCCCAGCAAUUGAUAUCGCCAGGCUGCCCAAGAUGCCUCGUCUUGGUGGCUCCAAAGAUCUGUCCAAGUUUCUAGAGAUAAUUCUGCCGAUAGCAGCGGCGGCAGCAGGAGCGCUAAUCCUAGUGGUUUUUCUGCUCGUGAGAAGGCAUCUGAGGUAUGCAGAGCUGAGAGAAGAUUGGGAGGUGGAGUUUGGGCCACAUCGCUUCUCAUACAAAGAUUUAUUUCUUGCCACCCAAGGAUUCAAGGACAAGUACCUGUUAGGAAGUGGAGGAUUUGGAAGGGUAUACAAAGGAUUGCUUCCGGUGUCGGCAACGGAAAUAGCCGUGAAGAGAGUGUGGCAUGAUUCGAAUCAGGGGAUGAAGGAAUUCGUAACAGAAGUUGUUAGCAUUGGCCGCCUCCAACACCGCAAUCUUGUGCCCUUAAUAGGCUACUGCCGGCGAAACGGUGAACUCCUUCUAGUGUAUGAAUUCAUGUCAAAUGGAAGCCUUGACAGGUACUUGUUCAGUGAAGAGGGCAAGCCCACCUUGAGCUGGGCUCAAAGGUUUGGGAUAAUCAAAGAUAUCGCAUCAGCCUUAUGCUACCUCCAUGAGGAGUGCGAAAAGGUUGUCAUCCAUCGAGACAUCAAAGCAAGUAACGUGCUCCUCGACGAUGAGAUGAAUGGGCGAUUAGGUGACUUUGGACUGGCAAGACUGUAUGAUCAUGGUGUCGACCCACAGACGACUCACCUGGUUGGCACCAUAGGGUACUUAGCCCCAGAGCUAGCAAGCACAGGGAAGGCAAGCCCUCUCACUGAUGUAUUUUCUUUCGGCGUGUUCAUUCUCGAGGUCACAUGUGGGCAAAGGCCUAUUAGGCCAAACGAAGAAGAGAACCAGAUCAUGUUGGUCGACUGGGUGCUCCAGCAUUGGCAAAAAGGAUCACCUAGUGAUACAGUAGAUGGCAGGCUGCAUGGCAACUAUGUAGAUCAAGAGGCAUGUUUGGUGCUGAAAUUAGGAUUGAUAUGCUCUCACCCAUCCAUGGACGCAAGGCCCAGCAUGCGUCAAGUUAUGCAAUAUCUUAAUGGUGACAUGCCACUCCCGGAGCUAAUGAUACCAGCUCACAUGAGCUUCCGGACUCUGGCCUUGAUGCAGAACGAAGGGUUCGAUCCCUAUGUCAGGUCCUCGUAUCCUUCAUCGAUGGGCCAGCCCACUUACCCGUCAUGGUUAUUUCCCUCUAGAGAAUGA
rnacentral:rRNA from 1 species